GACUGUGCAGACUUCAAGAGGAUAGCCAAGGAGAGGAUGGUUUUGAUCUACUGCCUGAAGACAUGCUGUGUCACCACCAGAGCCCAAACAACUGGACAGAGCCAGCACCAACCAAAACCUACAAAGCUGUGAGCCAGAAUAAAACCUUACUCUGUGUAAGGGAGUUGCUUUCGGUCUGGUUUAUCCCUUCCCAGAAGACAAACUGCAACCAGAUGAAGGCCUUAUUGUCAUCCAAACUUGCCUGGAACUAGUUAAGGAUAAACGGACUCUCCUGUCUGUACCGCUGUAUGUCACCACUGUGUGUCACCACACCCAAGCUUACUUAGUGCUGGAGAUUAGUCCACUGCUUUCUGUCUGCCAGGCAAACUUUCUACUCCCUCAGGAACAUCCACAGCCACAACUACAAAAUUGUGUUCAUUGUGAGUCAAGUACUCUGUAUAUAUAGUCAUCAUUCUUCCGGUCCAAGAUCACCUAAAGUUGUCAUCUUUUUUUUUUUUCAAUUGAGAAUACAUUGGUGGAAAACACCC
rnacentral:lncRNA from 1 species